rnacentral:rRNA from 1 species
AUUGAACGCUGGCGGCAUGCCUAACACAUGCAAGUCGAGCAGAUGAAGGGGUCUUGCCCCUGGGUUCAGCGGCGGGCGCGUGAGUGAUGCCUAGGAGUCUGCCUGGUGGUGGGGGGUAACGUCCGGAGACGGGCGCUAAUAUAGCACACGUCCUGUGGGGGAAAGUGGGGGGUCUUCGGAGCUCUCGCUCUCUGGUGAGCCUAGGUCGGAUUAGCUAGUUGGUGGGGUAAAGGCCUACCAAGGCGACGAUCCGUAACUGGUCUGAGAGGACGAUCAGUCACACUGGAACUGAGACACGGUCCAGACUCCUACGGGAGGCAGCAGUGGGGAAUUUUGGACAAUGGGCGAAAGCCUGAUCCAGCCAUGCCGCGUGUGUGAAGAAGGUCUUCGGAUUGUAAAGCACUUUAAGUCGGGAGGAAGGGCAGUAAGUUAAUACGUUCGGGGGUUGACGUUACCAGAAGAAUAAGCACCGGCUAACUACGUG